UGGGGAAUUUUGGACAAUGGGGGCAACCCUGAUCCAGCCAUCCCGCGUGUGCGAUGAAGGCCUUCGGGUUGUAAAGCACUUUUGGCAGGAAAGAAACGGCGCCGGCUAAUACCUGGCGUAACUGACGGUACCUGCAGAAUAAGCACCGGCUAACUACGUGCCAGCAGCCGCGGUAAUACGUAGGGUGCAAGCGUUAAUCGGAAUUACUGGGCGUAAAGCGUGCGCAGGCGGUUCGGAAAGAAAGAUGUGAAAUCCCAGGGCUUAACCUUGGAACUGCAUUUUUAACUACCGGGCUAGAGUGUGUCAGAGGGGGGUGGAAUUCCACGUGUAGCAGUGAAAUGCGUAGAUAUGUGGAGGAACACCGAUGGCGAAGGCAGCCCCCUGGGAUAACACUGACGCUCAUGCACGAAAGCGUGGGGAGCAAACA
rnacentral:rRNA from 1 species